rnacentral:rRNA from 1 species
ACUGCAUGGAGGAACUCUGAUGCUGCGAUGCCGCGUGAGUGAAGAAGGCCUUUGGGUUGUAAAGCUCUUUUGUAGGGGAAGAUAAUGACUGUACCCUAAGAAUAAGGUCCGGCUAACUUCGUGCCAGCAGCCGCGGUAAUACGAAGGGACCUAGCGUAGUUCGGAAUUACUGGGCGUAAAGCGCGCGUAGGCCGUUGAGUUAGUUAAUUGUGAAAUCCCAAAGCUUAACUUUGGAACUGCAAUUAAAACUGCUCAACUAGAGUUUGAUAGAGGAAAGCGGAAUACAUAGUGUAGAGGUGAAAUUCGUAGAUAUUAUGUAGAACACCAGUUGCGAAGGCGGCUUUCUGGGUCAACACUGACGCUGAGGCGCGAAAGUAUGGGUAGCAAAGAGGAUUAGAUACCCUCGUAGUCCAUACCAUAAACGAUGAUUGCUAGAUGUUGGAAAUUUAUUUUCAGUAUCGCAGCUAACGCAUUAAGCAAUCCGCCUGGGGAGUACGACCGCAAGGUUAAAACUCAAAUGAAUUGACGGGGACCCGCACAAGCGGUGGAGCAUGUGGUUUAAUUCGAAGAUACGCGCAGAACCUUACCAACCCUUGACAUGUCUGUCGCGAGUUUAGGAAACUAGACUUUUCGGUUCGGGCGGACAGACCCAGGUGUUGAUGGCUGUCGUCGGUCGUGUCGUGAGAGUUGGUUUAGUCCCGCAAGAGGGCAACCUACUUUAGUUGCC